rnacentral:lncRNA from 1 species
AUAACAUAAAUAAAAAUAAAUUAUUUAUUUUAUUAAUAAAUAAUAAGAUCAAAUAUAAAAUUAUAUUCUAAAAAGAAUAAAUAUGUCAGUCAGAUUGGCUUAUAGGGCAUACAUCUAACACCAGAGACUAUGGAAGAAGGAGAGGAGGGAAAGUCAAAGGAUGCUAGAUUCUUACCUAGCUUCUGAUGAACUGUGGCAAUGGUUGCCUAUGGCCACAGUGUUGGUGGUGGCCAG